rnacentral:rRNA from 1 species
GACGUAGGGCGCGAGCGUUGUCCGGAUUUAUUGGGCGUAAAGAGCUCGUAGGCGGCUUGUCGCGUCGACUGUGAAAACCCGCGGCUCAACUGCGGGCCUGCAGCCGAUACGGGCAGGCUAGAGUUCGGUAGGGGAGACUGGAAUUCCUGGUGUAGCGGUGAAAUGCGUAGAUAUCUGGAGGAACACCGGUGGCGAAGGCGACAUCCUGGACCGGUAUUGACGCUGAGGCGCGAAAGCCAGGGGAGCAAACGGG